rnacentral:rRNA from 1 species
AACAGGAUUAGAUACCCUGGUAGUCCACGCCGUAAACGAUGCUAACUCGUUUUUGGGCUUUAGGGUUCAGAGACUAAGCGAAAGUGAUAAGUUAGCCACCUGGGGAGUACGUUCGCAAGAAUGAAACUCAAAGGAAUUGACGGGGGCCCGCACAAGCGGUGGAUUAUGUGGUUUAAUUCGAUGAUACGCGAGGAACCUUACCAAGGCUUAAAUGGGAAUUGACAGUUUCAGAAAUGAGAUUUUCUUCGGACAAUUUUCAAGGUGCUGCAUGGUUGUCGUCAGCUCGUGCCGUGAGGUGUUAGGUUAAGUCCUGCAACGAGCGCAACCCCUGUCACUAGUUGCCAUCAUUAAGUUGGGGACUCUAGUGAGACUGCCUACGCAAGUAGAGAGGAAGGUGGGGAUGACGUCAAGUCAUCACGGCCCUUACGCCUUGGGCCACACACGUAAUACAAUGGCCGGUACAGAGGGCAGCUACACAGCGAUGUGAUGCGAAUCUCGAAAGCCGGUCUCAGUUCGGAUUGGAGUCUGCAACUCGACUCUAUGAAGCUGGAAUCGCUAGUAAUCGCGCAUCAGCCAUGGCGCGGUGAAUACGUUCCCGGGCCUUGUACACACCGCCCGUCAAGCCAUGGAAGUCUGGGGUACCUGAAGUCGGUGACCGUAACAGGAGCUGCCUAGGGUAAAACAGGUAACUAGGGCUAAGUCGUAACAAGGUAGCC